rnacentral:lncRNA from 1 species
GGUUCUUGGCACUCAUGUGGCCUAGUCUGCUAUGCCACAACUGUAUGCCUUCAGGUGUGCUUACUGCUGCAUUUGCCUGCGCCAGCCUAGCUUCCCCAUCAAGGAUGUAGAGAGUGCCCUUGUAGUCUCCUGCUAGCACCUCUCUGUCUCCUUUGAACACUCGCAGCCUGUAGUCCUUUGACCCAAAGCUGUAGCCAAGUGUUUCCAAUUGUCCCAAAGAGAUAAGAUUCCUUCUAGCUGUUUUUGAGUAUCUCACAUUAGAUAGAAUGACUUCACUUCCAUCAUAAUUGACAAAUCUGAUCUUCCCUAUUGUAGAGAUUUCACAGAAUGUGUCAUUUCCCAUGAGAAUUCUUCCCCCAUCAACUUCUUCCACAUCAAACAUCAGAUCUUUGUUCAUUGUCAUGUGGUAAGAGCAGCCAGAAUCUAGUACCCAGCCUUCCCUCGAGCCUCCAUGAGAUACAGUGAGCAUCAUUGGUUCUGCAUCCAUAGCUUGAGCUAGACUGGCUUCUCCCUUUUGACUUGUUCCAGCCUGGUAUUUCUUGGGACAAUCUUUCUUUAAGUGUUCUUCACUUCCACAAAUCCAACAAGCUCUCUUCUUCUUUGGUUUAGAUUUGCUUCUACUGGAUUUGCCCUUUGACUGACCCCUCUUCUCUGAUCUUCCUCUUGCCUGUACCAGCAACCCCUCAUCAGCAGGCUUUACUGAUAUCAGUCCCUUCUGCUUGAGCUCCAAUUCAAUAAAGUAAGCAGAUCUGAUUAUCUCCUUGGUGGUGAUGGUAUCUUUGGUACUGCUGUACUUCAGAGUAUGAACCAGGUGAUCAUACUUUUUAGGUAAGCUGUUCAUGAGUACUGCAGCCUUGUCCUCUUCUCUCAUUUCAGCAUUCAUACUAGAGAGAUCUAACACCAGUUUGUUAAAGUUGUCCAGAUUCUUGUCUAGACUCUGAUCCUCCUCCAUCUUGAAGCUGAAGAACCUUUGCUUCAAGUAAAAGCGAUUUGGCAAGGUCUGUGCUUGGUACUCAUUCUCUAGAGCUUUCCACAUAUCAUAUGCAGUAGGCUCUGUCAUCACCUUCCUCAGAACUGGGUCUGUCAAAGCAUGCCCCAGGAGGUUUCUAACCCUUUGAUCUUUCUCUUUCCAUAAUGGAUCUGGCUUCUCUCCCUCUUUAACAGGUUCCUUUGGUUUGAGCAGAGCACUGAAACCCAGAAUCUCCAGCUGACCAACCAUUUUGUGCUUCCAGAGAGUAAAGUCACCAUCACCAUCAAACUUAUCAACCUCAAACCGACCUUUGGUAGGUUCCAGCGUCUUUACUUCUGAAUCCGACAUCAAAGAUCCCACCUUUUCAG